UCCGCGGUAAUGGAGGCUAGGGAUGGGUGCUGAAGUAUCAGGCUCUGGCUCUAGCUUUAGCUCUGGCACUGGAACUGCGUCGGAGUCUGGGUCUGAGUCUGGCAGCCCGAAGCCUGGACACCUUUUCUUGAUUCUCUAGGCGGGGGCUGCCUGCGUCCAAGCAGCUGGUUUGCAGCGUUCCAACGCUGGGAGGGAGUUCCCUUACCUGGGGUCCAGUCUGUAAAGUUGUCGCCGCUUUCUAGGGACCCCGCCCCACCGGCUGGGACUCUUCCAUGCAGUUGAAACUGGUUGACAACCAUUAACCUGGGUUGCAACUACAGGUGGCACUGGAAGCAGACUGGUUCCUGGACAUGCCCGGUGGAAGGAGGGGCCCUAGUCGGCAACAGCUAAGCCGUUCAGCUUUACCUUCUUUGCAGACUUUGGUUGGUGGAGGCUGUGGCAAUGGAACAGGCUUGAGAAACAGGUCCUGUUCGUCAUUGCCAAAUUCCUGACUUGCCUGUGGAUGGGAGCCUACUCUUUGAAUUCCUUUUUUUCAUCUACCUGUUGGUUGCUCUUUUCAUUCAGUACAUCAACAUUUAUAAAACAGUGUGGUGGUAUCCUUACAAUCAUCCUGCUUCUUGUACAUCACUGAAUUUUCAUCUCAUUGAUUAUCAUCUGGCAGCAUUCAUCACAGUGAUGCUUGCGAGGAGGCUUGUAUGGGCUCUCAUCUCAGAGGCUACUAAGGCAGGUGCAGCAUCAAUGAUUCACUACAUGGUUCUGAUAUCAGCUCGCUUGGUACUACUCACUUUGUGUGGAUGGGUACUUUGUUGGACCCUCGUCAAUCUCUUUCGAAGCCAUUCAGUCCUCAAUCUCCUUUUCCUUGGCUACC
rnacentral:lncRNA from 1 species